rnacentral:rRNA from 1 species
CCAAUAGCGUAUAUUAAAGUUGUUGCAGUUAAAAAGCUCGUAGUUGAAUUUCGGGGUCAGUAGGUCGGUCAUGCCUUUGGUAUGUACUGGUCUCAUUGAUUCCUCCUUCCUGAGGAACCGUAAUGCCAUUAAUUUGGUGUUUUGGGGAAUUUGGACUGUUACUUUGAAAAAAUUAGAGUGUUUAAAGCAAGCUAACGCUUGAAUACAUUAGCAUGGAAUAAUGAAAUAGGACGUUCGAUCCUAUUUUGUUGGUUUCUAGGAUUGACGUAAUGAUUAAUAGGGAUAGUUGGGGGCAUUAGUAUUCAAUUGUCAGAGGUGAAAUUCUUGGAUUUAUUGAAGACUAACUACUGCGAAAGCAUUUGCCAAGGAUGUUUUCAUUAAUCAAGAACGAAAGUUAGGGGAUCGAAGACGAUCAGAUACCGUCGUAGUCUUAACCAUAAACUAUGCCGACUAGGGAUCGGAUGAUGUUAAUUUUUUAAUGACUCAUUCGGCACCUUACG